rnacentral:sRNA from 1 species
AAAACCCUCGGAUCUCCUGAGAACUCAUUCGCUGUCAUGAGAUCAACAUGGGGGAACCGUCCCCAUGAUCUAGUCACCUCCCACCAGGUCUCUUCCUCAACGCCUGAGGAUUAGAAUUCAAGAUGAGAUUUGGGAAGGGACACAGAACCUAAUGAUAUCAGUGUGUCAAUUUGUGAAGGAGGUAUCUCUGCAUGUUUCUGGAACUUGUCUGUCACUUUGGAACAUUGUUCUAAACAACCAGCUCACAAGUGAGUUUUUAGUACCCAGCCUGCUUUUUCUCGUACUUGACAACCCCAGAAAUUGGUUUGAGAGUUGUGCUUCUUAAAUCCACGGGAAGACACAGAGGAGACAAAGGCUGACUGUAGCCCGCUUUGCAACCCUGCCCCCCAGGUCCCAGCCACCAGCCAGCUGGAACUUGGCCUGGCCACCAGCUGGACUCACCACCAAUCCUGGAGAGCUUGUCCACACCACUAGAACCACUGGGCCUCACCCUUGCCUGGCCUACCAAAUGCCGGGAGUCAGCAGCUGCUGACAAGGCCCUCCUCGUGGAGAGGGCCGAGCCUGGCUGACAGGGACCUUGCUCUCCUGCAGAUGGGCUAUGUGCGGGAGUAUAUUCUGUGGGCAGCGUCUAAAUCCCAGCUUCUGGCGCACCAGUUCAUCUGGAACAUGAAGACUAACAUUUAUCUAGAUGAAGAGGGCCACCAGAAAGACCCUGACAUCGGCGACCUCCUGGAGCAGUUAGUAGAGGAGAUCACAGGCUCCUUGUCGGGCCCAGCGAAGGACUUUUACCAGCGGGAGUUUGAUUUCUUUAACAAGAUCACCAACGUGUCGGCUAUCAUCAAGCCCUACCCUAAAGGCGACGAGAGAAAGAAGGCUUGUCUGUCAGCCCUGUCUGAAGUGAAGGUGCAGCCGGGCUGCUACCUGCCCAGCAACCCCGAGGCCAUCGUGCUGGACAUCGACUACAAGUCUGGGACCCCGAUGCAGAGUGCUGCAAAAGCCCCAUAUCUGGCCAAGUUCAAGGUGAAGCGAUGUGGAGUUAGUGAACUUGAAAAAGAAGGUCUGCGGUGCUGCUCAGACUCCGAGGAUGAGUGCAGCACGCAGGAGGCUGACGGCCAGAAGAUCUCCUGGCAGGCAGCCAUCUUCAAAGUGGGAGAUGACUGCCGGCAGGUAAGCAGGGUCAGGCCUCGGGUAGGCCUGGGGACUGAGCUUGCUGCUCCCCAAGGCUCCAGGCCUGCCAGAGUCCAAUCUCAUAUGCAGAAAUGUGAAUCUGUUCCUUCUCUUAUAUGGUUCAGGUGCCACGGGGUAAAUUAGGGCUUCUGCAAAACCCAGAGGCCUCCCCUUCCAGCCCCUUUCCCACUGUCCCCGCCAUGCCAGUGCCCACCUGAGGGAACUGCCCAGGGGUUGGGUGCCUUAUCUCACACACCCCACCAGACAGCUCAGCCUCAUGCUCAGCCCAGGGCCUGGUGGUCCCAGCAGCCUGAGUCCAGCCCCCGGUGGUCAGAAAGCAAGGCCUUCCAGACUCUUGCUCGACUGUGGUCUCCCCACCUCACUCCAUCUCUGGGUGCUUGGCUUUUGUCCUGCAUGAGCCAGAAGAGCUGCUGGGGUGCAAGGAGGCCAGCUGACCCCAUCCUGCGCCUCCCGGCUUCCCAGGACAUGCUGGCCCUGCAGAUCAUCGACCUCUUCAAGAACAUCUUCCAGCUGGUCGGCCUGGACCUCUUUGUUUUUCCCUACCGCGUGGUGGCCACUGCCCCUGGGUGCGGGGUGAUCGAGUGCAUCCCCGACUGCACCUCCCGGGACCAGCUGGGCCGCCAGACAGACUUCGGCAUGUACGACUACUUCACACGCCAGUACGGGGAUGAGUCCACCCUGGCCUUCCAGCAGGCCCGCUACAACUUCAUCCGAAGCAUGGCCGCCUACAGCCUCCUGCUGUUCCUGCUGCAGAUCAAGGAUAGACACAAUGGCAACAUUAUGCUGGACAAGAAGGGCCAUAUCAUCCACAUCGGUCAGCCAGCCACAGCACCACCCUCCUCUCCCUUCACCCCUGGCACCCAGGGGUGGAUAGGGAUCCCCACCCCACAGAGAGGAGCAUGCCCAGGACCACCCUGCCAGGAGUGUCAGGGUCCAGCUCUGAGGUCCGAACUGUCAGCCACCAAGCUGUUCUGCUGUAGAGGGUGCCUGGCCCCGGCCCCAGGGAGCUGGGGCGAGAGCCGCCAUUGCUCUGAGUCAGAAGCUGGAGCUGGGCGGAGUGGGGCUCGUCCAGGUUCAGUGUCCCAGCUUGGCUCCUUCCUCCACUUCCUCCCUUCUCUUUCUCUGCCUGCUGCCCCACCACCCACCCCAUCACUGUCCCCAAGAAAACACAACCUGCCUGUUGGGGGUGGAGGGGAUGCUCCUGUUGCAGAGUCCUUUGCCACUCCUCAAAACAGACCACUUGUGCCUGCGCGCCCUGGCUCCUACCCAGUCACAGGCAGCUCUUUGGGGUUUUGCAGACUUUGGCUUCAUGUUUGAAAGCUCGCCGGGCGGCAAUCUCGGCUGGGAACCCGACAUCAAGCUGACGGAUGAGAUGGUGAUGAUCAUGGGGGGCAAGAUGGAGGCGACGCCCUUCAAGUGGUUCAUGGAGAUGUGUGUCCGAGGCUACCUGGCUGUGCGGUGAGCCUGGGUGAGGGCCAGGGUGGAGGCGGAGGGGGUGUGUGGAACGUUCUGAGGUCCCCUUUAGGAUGAAGGGAAUCCAGUUCCAGAGAGUGAGGUAGGUGCUAGCAGCUGCCUGCUGACCUACACCUAUCCUUUGGUCACCUCUGUCUGCCCACCUGUGCCAGUAAAUUCUUGCUCUGGGCAUCUAAUUCCAACCACCUUCCCCAGUAUCUUGCCCACGCCUUCAGCCAUGGGCUCUCCCUUUCUGGGCAUCCCAUCCACCCUGUCACCAAAGCCUGAGCACCUGCCACCCCACAGGCUACGUGCCAAAGAUGGGCUUUGUCCCAGUUUCAUAUACAGGUCACUUGGCCAAGGCCACAGUCCAACCUGGGUUCAUCCCCACUGCCCUGCAGAGAAAGGCAGAUCAGCGUGUCUGCAUCCCACCCAGGUGCAGAAGCCAUGGCCGGCAGCCUUACGUGGGGGAUAGGGCAGGACACUCAGCCUGUCCAGAGUGCGUGUGAGCAGCCCUUACCUGAGCGGUUCAGGUUACCGAGUACAGCAGAUCGAAAGUUGCCUCGGGGAUGUGCAAGAUGUGGCAGGCGAGGUGGGUGGCAGGAGCCCACACCUGAGGCUGUUGGCAUCAGCCAGGCCACAGGAGUACAGGCAGGGCCACCACCUAGGUUGGCCUCAGCCCACUGCUCCCUCCUCUCUCUCCCCAGGCCCUACAUGGACGCGGUCGUCUCCCUGGUCACUCUCAUGUUGGACACGGGCCUGCCCUGUUUUCGUGGCCAGACAAUCAAGCUCUUGAAGCACAGGUUUAGCCCCAACAUGACCGAGCGCGAGGCUGCAAAUUUCAUCAUGAAGGUCAUCCAGAGCUGCUUCCUCAGCAACAGGAGCCGGACCUACGACAUGAUCCAGUACUAUCAGAAUGACAUCCCCUACUGAGGAGGGGACCUCCGAGGCCCUCCGCCCCAUGUGCCCUCGAAGCUGCCCCACAAUCAUGGAGCCCUGUGACCUCCCCAUCCUGCCGCCACAUGCCAUGGAGAGGCCUGUGGCCCGAAGAGCCUGGUAGCGCCUCCUGGGGCAGCACGUGGGUGGCGCAGCCUUGGUAACGCCAUGGACUGCAGCGACAAUCAUUGGAUGGUGCUGUCUAUGCACGGGUGUGAGUCCUCUGUUUGCACUGGACAUAUUCCCUACCUGUCUUAUUUCAUAGGUACAUGAAGUAUUUUCUUGUGUAUAAAAAAAGAUAUAAGAUUUAACCAACAUCAACAAAAUAAAAACCCAAAAUAGUGCUGUGUUGG